CUUUCCAAUACAGCUGGUUUCUAAGCCAUUACUCUAAAGGUGACCUUUUCAUUUAGGUAGUUUCCCCACUUGACCUAAACUCAAAUGCAGUGGUUCAAUUAUUCACAUAUUAUAAGUAAAUAGGCCUAGCAUGGGGGAUAAAAUUCUACAAUCCUGGGUGUCAGACAUUUAGCACAUUUUUAAAAAAUAAAGAUAUGUUUAGGCCAACACCAUUAAAUUCUGCCUGCCAGCUCUGUAUCGAGGAAUGCUGUCCCUAAUUUGAUGGGGAUGUUCCAUAAACAUUCAAGAGCUUAUAAGAGGACCAAAUGAUAUUAAAUUAACAAUUCAAACAGAAAAAGAUUUUGGAGCAAGGUGGCAGCCUUAAUAGAACCAUUAAAGAUUUCAUCCAGGGAUCGAUAAUUCAGUUGGAGUGCAAUAGUCUUGGGACUAGCUUUAUCAUAAGCCAAAGUGUUGGCUGUAACAAUGGUAGACCACAAAAAACUUUUUCCCUGUGGAGUAGGACUUUUUUUUAGCCCAUUUAAUAUGCAGACUGGUCUAUAAGCAUUCUGUGUCUCUAUCUGCU